AAAUUGCUGUGGUAUACGAAUCCACAUAUAAGUGUUGACCGACUAAUUUUUGUAUUAUCGGGAGACAGAGGUCUAUUAACAGUGUGCAGGCUGGCUCACCCAGAAGCAACUUAAGUUAGUAGCGACGAGUCGCCCACCUGCUUUUUUACGUCGCGGGUUCAAUACAAACCGUGGAUCAUCGGUACCAAUACAGCAUCCA
rnacentral:other from 1 species